CUCUCCUCUCCUCUGCUCUCUUCCCACCUCCCAUGCUAAUGAGCCCAGUAUUGGCACUAAGUCAACUCCCAGCUGAGCCCAGCCUUUGCUCCAUCCCCACUGAGGUGCUAGACUUUUGAGUGAAUCUGUCUCUGACCCUUCAGACCAAAUGAGCCCAUCUGGCAACCAAAUGCCACAAGUGAGCUCAGUCAACACCACAUGGCACAGAACUGAACAGCUGAACCUGACCUGAAUUCCUCACCCACAAAAUCAUGAGGCAUAAAAAUGGCUGCCAUUGUAAGCUUGGAAUUUGAGAGAUAGAUAGCCAGAGAUAGAACCACAUGACACAAGUUCAUUUUAUAGAGUCUCUCGCUUAGUAGCACCAAACAAAUAGCCAAGGGCCAAGCUAAUAAACUAUAGUAAUUAACAAAACAAGCUCCCUUUUCUUUCAUAUGGCAAUCCCCACACAGAGACAAUGACAACAAUUUUGAAUUUCAAGCAAAUAGCCUAUCUGUGGACUUAUCUGAAAUGUCAGCCAUAAAAUAAUUUUCCCUUUGCAAUUUAUAAGCCCUGACAGAAAGGAGCUGUCUGUGAGAACCCAGCCAGAAAACCCUUGGACAGACAUUCUGUUGAUAAUUUUCCCAUUUCCAUUUUUAACACACAGAGCCUUUCACUAUUCAAGUCAACUUUGAAAGGAAACAAGAUAACAUCCGUUUCCACUGCUGUCCUUCCAUGCAUUUAAUAGCACCCGAUAUGCAGGUCCCUUUCCCUGGAGUUUCGUGUCAUUCAAGCCCACCUUCUGGUGAUCCUAAAACACGAUGUCAUUUUCUGCAGCUCCAUCUAGUAGUGCAGGCCAGGAAUGCAAAGUAGCUAAGGAGGGAUGGAGAAGAGAUUCCUGUAAGUAACCUCGGUGAACCAGUUACCAAAUGCUGCAGCUGUCUGCCACAGUAUUUCUGACAGGACAAAUCAUGCUGAUGAUGUAAGAGCCUUUUCUUAAACAGUGAAAUGAGAGAAGGUGAAAACGCAGCGCUGUUGGAAAACGCUUUUCCUUGUUUGGGGAACCAUAUUCACAAAUGAUUAGGUUAGCCACAGUUCUGGGUUCCCUCAGCUCUUUGAAAAUCCACAUUCCUGUAGAGUUCUUCAUGAAACCCGUCAGUUGGCUCCCUGGGCUCUUGGUUAGCUCACCAGUUUGCCAUGCGAGUCACUGAACAGGGAAAAUUACUCAGGGCUCUAAAGAAAAUCUAAUUCAUUGAACUAAACCUUGGAAAAGAACCUAAAUGAGUCAUUGUAUCCUUCCUCCUGCCUCUGGGCAGCACCACACCUUAGAUCAUUUGAGCCAAAGGAAAGGUAAUCACAUUUUUUAAUAAAGCAGUCAUAGAGGAAUCACAAACAGCAUUACUAAAUCCCACUUCUAUAUAUAACUAUGUCCAAAAGAACCAACAAACACAUUACAGAGUUGGCCCCAUCACACUAAGGACAGAGCCAAGAGCCAGGCUUUUGUGAAGUUUUUUAAAGGUGGUCCUUGGAAGCCAAAGAGCUAGGGGAAGCCAUUCCCUGGGGGAAGUAGCUGUCCAAAGCCAGUGUAUGGCUUAUGAAAUAGCAGAUGGGUUGGUCAAUCCAGUCAUUCUGCCUUCCACACCUCACCCUUUGUGCAGAGGACAAAAUGCAGGACCACAUGCAGAGACUUGGGACGAGGGUGAUAAAAUCACACAUGAAACUUCCCCCUCAUUUUGUUUUGUUUUUGUUCUUUUGGGGGGAGGAGGGUUCCCUAGACCUGAAGUCUUUUUAAAUUUUUUUUUCUUGUUUUACAUGUCAGUCCCAGUUCCCUCUCCCUCCCCUCCUUGCCUGCUCUCCCCUUGUUUUGCCUUUUAAUCUAUCUUUUUCCCUUUCUUUUUCCCUAUUGUUUGUUAUGCCCAAACUAGGUAACAAUGGUUUUUUUUAAAUUCAAUCUGCCACCCUUUACUAAUAAACCUACAGCUGACAGGCAAUGUAUAUUUACCCUUCCAGAUACCUGGCAGGUGCUCAGUAGCCAUUCCCUGGCAGACAGAUCUGGAGAGAAUGCACACAGCCCUAACCCACCAAUACCUAAUGUUUCCCUCCCUUUAAAAUGAAGACUGUGACCUCACAUCCCCUGAGGAAGAACAAUGGACCAGUUGACUCGUUGAUCUUUACAGCAGAAUCCUAGGUUGAUAAAAAGAAAUUCUGAAAGCAUGGGGCUCCUGGCUGUGGGAUCAGAGUCCCAGGCUGGGCCCAUGGCUUGCCCUUGCCUCCUGUUGGAGCACCAUCUCUAACUAAAGAGCAUGAGAGAUUGACCAUUGAGAAAAGAAGAAUUCACACUCUUACCCUCAGCAAAGAGGCUGCUACUCCUUCUUCUUAGGGAGAAAAUUGGAUCCCGAGUCAUUUAUCCAGGACACAACUUCCCAGCCUGUACCCUACCGGUACCUUCAGCAAUCUGAUAGGUCAGUUCAGUCAGUAGAGCAUGAGACUCUUAAUAUCAGGGAUGUGGGUUCAAGCCCCAUGAUGGGCACCAAUAUGUAGCAUGAAUAAUAAAAACCCAGCGACAGAUAUUGGGGUUCAAGUUGAAGAUUGGAAAAGCACAGCAGCCAAAACACCAGAGCUCUUAUCUCUAUUAAGACUGGGUAAUCCCGCCUUCAAUGUGACUGGAGACUAAUUGCAUAAGACUGACUGUCAGCUCUGAGACCUUGCUCAUGUCUUAUUUACUUCUCUAGUGCUGGCAUUAAAGGUAUACUCCAUCACUGCCCAGCUUCUAUUACUAACCAGUAUGACUGCUGAGAUUAAAGGUGUGUACCACCACUAUCUGGUCUCUAUGGCUGUGGCUAGUUCUACAUUCUGAUCUCCAGGCAAGCUGUAUUAAAUCAUAAACAAUAUAUCACCGCAGCUAUUCUUACCAUGACCAAGGUCAGAAAGUUGCAAACCCAAAGUUGAGUUUAUUUGCUCUGCAUUUAUUGUCAUUAACAUUUGAAAGUUGUCAGAAUGAAGAUGGAUCACAUAUGAGAAGUUCCAACAAUAUUAAUAGAACUGGGAGGCUAAGAAGGAGGGUAUUAUACAUGUUUGCCUGACAACUAGCAAGAAGUAUCACACAGAGCUGGGGUGUGGCCAAAAGUCGGAGUGCUUCCCUUGAACUCAGGAGGCUCUGAAUUCAAUUCCCAGAACUGUUGCUGGCAUUUUUCUUGUCCUACCAGGUCCCACUACUUCAGCCCCAAAUGAACACACAGAUGGUAUAUUAAUUAUAAAACUGUUGGCAAAUGGCUAGGGCUUCUUAUUGGGUACUUCUGUCUUAAUUAUUAACCCAUUUCUAUAAAUCUAUGUAUUUCCACAUGGUCUUGGCUUACCAGAGAAUGCCUGGACCUGCUACUUCUUUGGUGGCUGCAUGGCAUCCCUAAGUGGUGCCUCUCUGUCUACCUUUCCCAGAAUUCUCCUCAUCUCCUAGUCCCGCCUAUCUUCCUACUUCUAUUGGCCAAACAGUGUUUUAUUCAUCAACCAAUAAGAGAAACAUAUAUACAGAAGGACAUCCCCCAUCACAGAACCAUGAAGAAGGGGAAGCCAGAAGGAAAGGCUACCAGAACCACAACCUUGCACCACAACCUCACAUAGAAAAUGUUUUUGCAAUGACAUCUGCCGGACUGCCUAUUCCACCUUGAACAGCUGCUGCCCUUGCAAUUGAUUUAAGGGUCAAGGGUUACCAUUUCAAAACAUGUAGUCCUUGUCAUCUUACCCAUAAAUAAUCCACCUUGUUCUUAACCUCUUUGAAUAGGAGUAAGGUUCACUAUGGAACCUACAUUGCCACUGUAAUGUCCAUUCCUGAAAAAAAAUUAAACCUAUUACUUUUGUUUACCUUUUUUUUUUCUUUUUUUUUUUUUUAACAGGGUUUCUCUGUAGCUUUGGAGCCUGUCCUGGAACUCAUAUUCAUGUAGACCAGGCUGGCCUUGAACUCACAGAGAUUCACCUGCCUCUGCCUCCGGAGUGCUGGAAUUAAAGCAGCUCUUGAGCAACAGCCAUCUGCUGAGGAAAGGGCAUUUGCUGGUCCUGUUGCCUUUCACCUUUGGAGUUCCUGACUCCUGCUCCACCCACCAGGAAGCCACUAUUUACCCCAGAGAAUAAGCAAAGUACCCACAGAGCUGCUGUAAGGCAAGAUCUCACCUCAAGACUUCAGAUUAUCCGGGCAUGCCUUUAAUCCCAGCUCUCAGGAGUCAGAGGGCAUUCUUACCGAAUCAUCUCAAGAUGGCCUAAACAACAGAAACCUAUUGGUGGAGGCUGGAAGUCUAAGAUGAAGGUACCUUCAGGGCUGUGUGCCCUCUAAAGAUUUUCAGAGAGCAGGCUUCCUAGAUCCUUCAGCUGUGGUUCAUCCAGAGCCCUCAUCCAGUGGCUGAUGGAAGCAGAGGCAGACACCCACAGAUAUACACUGAACUGAACUCUGGAACUUAGUUGCAGAGAGGGAGGAAUGAAGAUCAAAGGGGUCGGUACCAGGCUGGUGAAACCCACAGAAACAGCUGGCCUGAACAAGGGGGAGCACAUGGACCCCAGACUGCUGUCUGGGAGGCCAGUGCAGGACUGAUCCAGACCCCUGAACAUAGAUGUCAAUCAGGAGGCCUCUGCACUCUAGGGGGCCCCUGGUAGUGGAUUAGUAUUUUUCCCUGGUGUAAGAAGGGACUUUGAGAGCCCAUCCCACUUGAAGGAAUGCUCUCUCGGCCUGGACACAUGUGGGAGGGCCUAGGCCCAGCCCAGGAUGAUGUGGUGGACUUUGGGGGAACCCCAUCAAAGGCCCUACCCUGCCUGGGAAGUGAAGGGUGGAUGGGGUGGGGAG
ensembl:lncRNA